rnacentral:snRNA from 1 species
GUACUCGCUUCGGCGGUACUUAUACUAAAAUUGGAACGAUACAGAGAAGAUUAGCAUGGCCCCUACUCAAGGAUGACACGCAAAAUCGUGAAGCGUUCCAAAAAUUU